CUUCAGAGAAAAGAUCCAAGAGAAAAGUCUGGGACUCUGGUACCCAGCUCCCUGGCCCUAAGAGGGUCCAUGGCAGAUGUUUGGAAUGAAGGAGCUUCAUGGUCCCCCAGGGGCAUCCUUAUAAAAUCAGCUCUGUUUCUGUAGAAGUGUAUGUUUUGGUGGACAGCGUUCCUGGAAGAGAGAUCUUAUACUUGCGAAGUGCAUCCUAAGUAAGAGCCUUCAACAAAAGGUAAUUGAGGGCAGUCAAUGCUAAAUAAUAUUUUGAUGGCCUCUCCUCCUCUACUGAGAGCCAAUUUAC
rnacentral:lncRNA from 12 species